AACAAAAUCAGUUCAUACUGAAAUUAGGGAACACAUCCACCACCUUUCAUCUGGCAGAAAACCUCCACAACUACUACAUUUCCUGAAAGUCUGUGUCAAAUAAUCUGUUUCAAACUUGGAGAAACUACAAGGCUUUUAUAGAUUUUUUGUGUGUGUGCGCAUGCAUGCUAUCACAAUAGCAACAGCAUGACAACACUAGCAAAAAAGUGACUAUGCAACUCUUAACCUAAACAAAUCCAAGUAAAAAAGAUGCACAUUAAACUUUUAAAUGUUUCUCUAGUAUUACAUAUAAACCACACCCAUGGAGAACAUGACUGAUCUCUUUAUUGGGUUUAUCAUUAUUCUUAUAGUGCUGCGUGUAAUUAAACUUCCUAACAAUCUUCCAAGAUGAGCUGAGAGCUCACUACAUGUAACAAGUUAUAGAAAUUAGAUAUGCUUCACAACUGUCAACAACAUAAAGGACUCUUGCUUAGCUUCCCCCACCCCAGAGAAUAUUCGACAUCAGAGACAAGUUGUUGCAAGGAUCGCUCACAACAGCAUUUAUGGCACACGCACAGAGGAGCAAUAAACUAUUAACAGGCCCGUGCACGGCAGAGACGCAUGGGAAUUGCUGUGUCAACGUAGGACUUUUCAUUCACAACGGUGCUGCCUCAAGGUCUAUGAGCGCAGCACCGAAUGGAUUGCAUACAGUCUCUCCUCUCUUACACGGAGGCCGGUUCUUACUCACUAGCAAUCAUACGCGUGCAUAUAGACUCGUAAGGACGAUGGUUACAGUGUCAGCUCAGCGCCACAAAACAAGACAUUGUCCAGUUGUUGCCUGGCUUCACAUUGACUGGACAACAUGCAACAGGCCUGUCAAUGAUGGCUAGCUUUAGCUAAUGUCAACUAACAGCGGCUCGGUUGCCACCAACACGCCCAGGAACUGUCGUGCCCUAUCAGCACCAACAGCAACAACCACAGCAGCCAAAAUGACAGCAGAGACAUGCCAGAACAGCAAAGUAUGUUGCCUGUACAACAAUUUCUAACUAGCUGUGGAACUACAGCAUUAGCCAGCAGUGAUAGUCUAACAUGGCUGACAGGAAAUGGCAGCUCAGAACAUUCCAGUGGAGCCGGCUCGGUUUUCCUAAGCUGGACAUGAGCAUGCCGAACAAAAAAGACACAGAUUUGACUAUUGUUGAGGACAACUUGCCGUGCACUCCUAUCAAAUAAUGCGCUAAGAACACAUGGCAGCAUGGCAGGGGUUCCUUGAGAUGAUUAAGAUGCAUUUGCAAAAGAAAAAUGGUUGGCGAAACCGGCGCACAAGGUCAAUCCCCGAUGUGUCAAACCACCACAGCGACAACUGUCACGCAACGUCAGCUAGCGAACUUGCUAACAUAACGGGAGGCCCUGGAGCCAGAGCUCUGUGUUGUCAUGGUGAGCACAGUAGUGAUUCCCAAUCCCACCCUUGCGGGAGCUGCAUCCAUGUUGAUCCAGAACGACACCCAAGACAGGAUGACAGUCAGCAGGCUCGUUGUUUCAGUGAUGGAUCCAAAGCUGUUGAUGAAGAUGUUACAGGUCACGUUGACAGGAGAACCUGACGGGAGGACACAUCUUAGUAACACUGCUUCCUUAAAUACCACUGAUGAUGUUUUCUAAAAGGAACACAUCAAAUAUUAAAGCUGAUGAAGAGCAGGGGAUUCCUCUACCACAACAUCUGUUUUUUCCCUUCAUAAUAUGCCAUGCCGUGUCCUGAUAAAGAUUUAUCCACGAUAACAAGCCUGAAAUUGUGUUGUCAUUUCCAGUAUGCUCCCAUUACCGUAGUCCAUCUGUCGACCAUUGGAACUUUAAAUAUUUCAGUGAGUCAUUUCCGAAGAGGCAAUUAUUUAUUGAUUCAGUUUUACUUACAUUGGUGUGUUUAUAGAUAAUCAGCAGAGAUUUAUCCACAAUGCACCGACAAGGAUGUGGAGCAAAUAUGAAAUAUAUAUGAAAUUUGACCCUAGAGGCGGUGCAGGAACUAUGUGAGAGAGACUCUGCCAGUUUCACAAGAUUGGACUGGAAAGGGCCUUUGGGGUAACAUGCAAGGGUGACCGCACAUUUCUGUCAAAUAAAAACGAUGUGAAAGAGACGUCUGUGAAAAGAUACCAUCACCUUAGGGUGUGGGACAACACAGAAACCAUAACAACACAUGAGGAGGAAAAGAAGGAGAAAGACUUUUGCAUGGAGACAUCGUAGCUUGCAGCAUCUCUUGCCUCUGACCCAUCUGUGAAGGAUUUGUGCCACUUCACUGCACAGAUUGUUGUGCAAAUUGAGCAGCACUCUUUCUCACACCUUUUCAAAUAGAGCAGUAUUUGCAUGUGGG